rnacentral:ribozyme from 1 species
AGAGGUCACAAGCUUGAGGCCAUAGCAGAAGCACUCACAGUACAGUCCUGUCAGAUUGCAAUGAAUCUGCAAAUUCUGCU